rnacentral:pre_miRNA from 11 species
AUAUAUAUGUAUGUAUGUAUAUGUGUGUGUGUGUGUGUGUGUGUAUACACACACACACACACACACAUAUAUAUAUAUAUAUAUAUAUA